rnacentral:rRNA from 1 species
UCAUAGAGGGUGAGAAUCCCGUAUUUGACCAUUAUUUUCAGCUGUGUGAUACACUUUCAAAGAGUCGGAUUGUUUGGGAAUGCAGUCCAAAAUGGGUGGUAAAUUUCAUCUAAAGCUAAAUAUUGGCGAGAGACCGAUAGCGAACAAGUACCGUGAGGGAAAGAUGAAAAGAACUUUGAAAAGAGAGUUAAACAGUACGUGAAAUUGUCAAAAGGGAAGCGUUUGACACCAGUGUUGUUUUCUCGAAAAUCAAUUAAAAAAAGUUGGAUUUUGUGUUUGUAUGACCUUAACAGCUUCUUUCACUUUUUUCCUGCUUUUUUUAAUGCACUUUUCGUUUAACAAGUCAACAUCAGUUUCUUUUGUUGUAAAAAGGUCAUUGGAAGGUGGCUUUCUUUUCGGAGAAAGUGUUUAUAGCCUUUGACUCCUGCAAUCGGAGAGACUGAGGUCUGCAGCGUAGAUCCUUCGGGGUUAGAUACGUUUGUGCUAAGUUAUAGCUUUUCAUAGACAACUUGUUGACUAUGUUUAGUCAUGUAGCUUACUCGCUUAUGCUAUUUUACCUACGCUUAGGAUGUUGA